rnacentral:rRNA from 1 species
GUCUAUGGCCAUACUACCCCAAACCAGCCUAAUCCCAUCUGAUCUCUAAAGCUAAGCAGGGUUGGGCCUGGUUAGUACUUGGAUGGGAGACCAUCUAGGAAGACCAGGUGCUGCAGGCG